UUCUGGGGAUUGAAGUCUAAGGUUCAAAAUCUCCAUUUUACAUAUCAUGGUGGACAGCCUUUUUCUUCCCGAGUCUCUUGGAGUUGUCCAGGUUCCUUGCAUUGCUGAUAAAUGUUCAGGCAUCCGCAGUUGGUCCUCAUACAUUAUUGCUAUUAGUAUGGAUAACGUUCUCCUGGACUAAGAACGCGGUUCCUGUGAACUUGGACAUCCAACUUCAACAAAAGCAGCUAUGUGCCUACCCCCUUGUUGAGCAGACAGAUAUAUGAUUGUGGGAUUUGAGCAGAGAUAACGAGAAAAGGAGGUAAAAUGUGAAAAUGAUUGGCGAAGAAAAAGAAGCUUGAAGUGGAGUGCUGGGGUGGGAUGAAGAAGACCUAAAUAAAAGCUGAGAAAAAGGGAUCCA
rnacentral:lncRNA from 1 species